CCGGGUCUACGCCUUGGUCGCCGCGGGAUGACAGCGCGGUGGGCUGGGAGUCGGUCUCCAGCUUGCUCUCGGUCUUCUGCAAACAGAUAGAUGUUUUGGAUCCGAUGUGCAGAGGGGGAAAAAUUUGGGAAGGCGAGAUGACGCGCUAUCCGUCUUAGUCGCUCUCUCCAGGACACGUGAUCCAAAGUAGAUAUUGUCAUAUAUCAGUUUGGAGCACUUAGAAGCGUAGGAGUGGUUCACUUAGGGGGUUCUUUCCAUGCAAGUCACAUUUUAGGCAUGAUCAGACAUAUUCUUUUAUUUCCCCUUUUCUUCUCUUCUUUGUCUUUUUUCUUUUCUUUUCUUAAAAAUGUGGAUUCAACUGUUAGAAGCCCAGGGGACUGGAUAAAGAUUCUUCAUCAUGAUCCAGAAAGCCAUGCUGUAAAGGCGUUUAGAGAAUAUUGACAGUUGAUAGAGGCUGCUGGCAUAUCCAGGAAAAUC